rnacentral:rRNA from 1 species
CCUACGGGAGGCAGCAGUGAGGAAUAUUGGUCAAUGGGCGGAAGCCUGAACCAGCCAAGUAGCGUGCAGGAUGACGGCCCUACGGGUUGUAAACUGCUUUUAGACGGGAAUAACGCGCCUUACGUGUAGGGCUUUGCAUGUACCGUAUGAAGAAGGACCGGCUAAUUCCGGGCCAGCAGCCGCGGUAAGACGGAAGGUCCGGGCGUGAUCCGGAUUUAUUGGGGUGAAAGGGAGCGUAGGCCGCAUGUCAAGCGUGCUGUGAAAAGGUCGGGCUCACCCCGGGGCUGGCAGCGCGAACGGGCGUGCUUGAGUCCGCGGAAAGCAGGCGGAAUUCGUCGUGUAGCGGUGAAAUGCUUAGAUAUGACGAAGAACCCCGAUUGCGAAGGCAGCUUGCUGCAGCGGAACUGACGCUGAUGCUCGAAAGCGCGGGUAUCGAACAGGAUUAGAUACCCUAGUAGUC